rnacentral:rRNA from 1 species
GAGGUGCUUGCACCUUAUCUUAGCGGCGGACGGGUGAGUAAUGCUUAGGAAUCUGCCUAUUAGUGGGGGACAACAUUCCGAAAGGAAUGCUAAUACCGCAUACGUCCUACGGGAGAAAGCAGGGGAUCUUCGGACCUUGCGCUAAUAGAUGAGCCUAAGUCGGAUUAGCUAGUUGGUGGGGUAAAGGCCUACCAAGGCGACGAUCUGUAGCGGGUCUGAGAGGAUGAUCCGCCACACUGGGACUGAGACACGGCCCAGACUCCUACGGGAGGCAGCAGUGGGGAAUAUUGGACAAUGGGGGGAACCCUGAUCCAGCCAUGCCGCGUGUGUGAAGAAGGCCUUAUGGUUGUAAAGCACUUUAAGCGAGGAGGAGGCUACUGAGACUAAUACUCUUGGAUAGUGGACGUUACUCGCAGAAUAAGCACCGGCUAACUCUGUGCCAGCAGCCGCGGUAAUACAGAGGGUGCGAGCGUUAAUCGGAUUUACUGGGCGUAAAGCGUGCGUAGGCGGCUUUUUAAGUCGGAUGUGAAAUCCCCGAGCUUAACUUGGGAAUUGCAUUCGAUACUGGGAAGCUAGAGUAUGGGAGAGGAUGGUAGAAUUCCAGGGUGUAGCGGGUGAAAUGCGCUAGAGAUCUCGGAGGAAUACCGGAUGGCGAAGGCAGCCAUCUGGCCUAAUACUGACGCUGAGGUACGAAAGCAUGGGGAGCAAACAGGAUUAGAUACCCUGGUAGUCCAUGCCCGUAAACGAUGUCUACUAGCCGUUGGGGCCUUUGAGGCUUUAGUGGCGCAGCUAACGCGAUAAGUAGACCGCCUGGGGAGUACGGUCGCAAGACUAAAACUCAAAUGAAUUGACGGGGGCCCGCACAAGCGGUGGAGCAUGUGGUUUAAUUCGAUGCAACGCGAAGAACCUUACCUGGCCUUGACAUACUAGAAACUUUCCAGAGAUGGAUUGGUGCCUUCGGGAAUCUAGAUACAGGUGCUGCAUGGCUGUCGUCAGCUCGUGUCGUGAGAUGUUGGGUUAAGUCCCGCAACGAGCGCAACCCUUUUCCUUACUUGCCAGCAUUUCGGAUGGGAACUUUAAGGAUACUGCCAGUGACAAACUGGAGGAAGGCGGGGACGACGUCAAGUCAUCAUGGCCCUUACGGCCAGGGCUACACACGUGCUACAAUGGUCGGUACAAAGGGUUGCUACACAGCGAUGUGAUGCUAAUCUCAAAAAGCCGAUCGUAGUCCGGAUUAGAGUCUGCAACUCGACUCCAUGAAGUCGGAAUCGCUAGUAAUC